GACGAACGCUGGCGGCGCGCUUAACACAUGCAAGUCGAGCGAUCGACUCGGGGCUUGCCCCGAGCACGGAGCGGCGAACGGGUGAGUAACACGUGGGUGACCUGCCCUCGGUUCCGGGAUAACUCCGGGAAACCGGCGCUAAUACCGGAUGGCCUCCUGGAUCUACGGAUCCUUGAGAAAAGGUAGCUUUGGCCUCCGACCGAGGAUGGGCCCGCGGCCGAUUAGCUUGUUGGUGAGGUAAUGGCUCACCAAGGCGACGAUCGGUAGCUGGUGUGAGAGCAUGACCAGCCACACUGGGACUGAGACACGGCCCAGACUCCUACGGGAGGCAGCAGUGGGGAAUCUUGCGCAAUGGGCGAAAGCCUGACGCAGCGACGCCGCGUGCGGGAAGAAGGCCUUCGGGUUGUAAACCGCUUUCAGGAGGGACGAAGCCACUCGGGUUAAUAGCCCAGAGGGUGACGGUACCUCCAGAAGAAGCCCCGGCUAACUACGUGCCAGCCGCCGCAGUAAAAC
rnacentral:rRNA from 1 species